rnacentral:lncRNA from 1 species
ACAGUUCCUUCUGCCCAGUCCACAAUUUAUCUUCUUCCAUAUCAGAGGAGGAACUUAACAAAUUUAUGUUGCUUGCUCGGUCCAUAUUAUGAAGAUUCAUUACUCUUAUGAAGUUAUGAUGCAUGAUAUGAAAGGAGGUGAUACGAAAGUGUCCAUGUACGAUUAUUAUUUGCACGCACCAGAAUCUUCUCCAGACUCCAAUCCAAUUAGAAAAGAAGUGAAGUGGUGGUCUCCUGAAACCAAAAUUAGUAAAAACCAGAUGCCAAUGCAACUGGUGUAGGUAAUAUUAUGAAGAUUCAUUGUUUUCUCCAUCUUUAAUUUAUAUUUUAUUAUUUUUUAUUAGAGAGAGUGAGAAAAAUACUUUAAUUCUUAUUUAUUUUUUAAAAAAUAUUUAUUUAAUUAAAAUAAUAUUAAUUUAUUUUUAUUUAAAUAAUUUUUUUAAAAAUAACAUAUUUUUUUACUUUCUUUUAAAAUGUUGAUAGUGGCAUGGUCGUAAGGUUGGUAAAAUCUCAUGUAAAAAACAAGAAGUCUGUGAUUUGAAGUCAUCAAAAGAGUAUGUGGGUCGGAUGCCAAAAACAUGUUGCUAUUAAGACUCUCAUUAAUCAAAUAACACCCAAGCAUUUAUAGUGGCUCUAUUUGCAUAUGCCUAUCCAAUCCAUCACUGCACCAAAUGUAGAAGAAAAUUACAUCUAAAUCAGUUCUGUUCUGUCCAAUCUGGUUGCGCGUGCAGCGUGCCAACAAGUUGCAUUCCUAAGCUUGCUGUCUUCCCGAUGCGAGAAAUGUUGGAUGAUUGUGUUCAAAUAAGAGAUGAGAGUCGGAGAUGAGUGAGAUGAUUACACAGGUAGGAUUUGCUCUUGGUGGUGAAGGACAUGCAGAAAAAAGGGGGAGGAAAAAAAAAAUGAAGAUCAAAAUGUUUUUUUGAAGAGGUUUCAAUUUGUGAAGUGAGAACCGAUAAAACAGAACGCGCGUAAGGAGAAAUAACGAAGAAAAUAAGAAAUUCGCCACACACUACUGACACUACAUUUAUAGAUGCAUAACCUCAAGUAAAACAAAACACAUCAGCCACUGCAAUCAAACAAAUCAAAAAUCAAAAAUCAAAAUCACACACAAGUGAAUAACCAAAUAUCACCAUAUAUUAAUUAAUAAUUAUGAGAGUUCAAAUCCAUCCACAAUUUAUCUUCUUCCAUAUCAGAGGAGGAACUUAACAAAUUUAUGUUGCUUGCUCGGUCCAUAUUAUGAAGAUUCAUUACUCUUAUGAAGUUAUGAUGCAUGAUAUGAAAGGAGGUGAUACGAAAGUGUCCAUGUACGAUUAUUAUUUGCACGCACCAGAAUCUUCUCCAGACUCCAAUCCAAUUAGAAAAGAAGUGAAGUGGUGGUCUCCUGAAACCAAAAUUAGUAAAAACCAGAUGCCAAUGCAACUGGUGUAGGUAAUAUUAUGAAGAUUCAUUGUUUUCUCCAUCUUUAAUUUAUAUUUUA